UUUUUAUUUAUUUUUUUUUUGUUUGAGUACAUUUUUUAUUUUCACUAAUUAAAUGAAGUUGGUUUAUAUCUGAAAUAUUAGGUGAUAAUUUAGUCCCUUACAAGAAAUUCAAAAUAAAAUUACAUCCACUCAGAAUCCAGUAAAUGGAGUUCCCCGCCUUAGGAAAAAUAAAAUAAAAUUAAAAAAUCUUUUACAUAGAACAUAAUUUAAUAAAAGUGAUUUCUUCUUCUCCCAUUUUCCUUCCAUUUUAUGUG
rnacentral:misc_RNA from 1 species